rnacentral:rRNA from 1 species
CCGACGAGGGGGUUUGCGUCUGAUUAGCUGGUUGGAGGGUAACGGCCCAACAAGGCGAUGAUCAGUAGCCGGUCUGAGAGGAUGAACGGCCACAUUGGGACUGAGACACGGCCCAGACUCCUACGGGAGGCAGCAGUGGGGAAUCUUCCGCAAUGGACGAAAGUCUGACGGAGCAACGCCGCGUGAGUGAAGAAGGUCUUCGGAUUGUAAAACUCUGUUAUACGGGACGAAAAAGGCGGAUGCCAACAGUAUCCGUCCGUGACGGUACCGUAAGAGAAAGCCACGGCUAACUACGUGCCAGCAGCCGCGGUAAAU